rnacentral:rRNA from 1 species
AUGGCGAAGGGGACGACGGAGAUGGAGGUCGGGUCCGACGGCGUCGCCGUCAUCUACGUCGCCAACCCGCCCGUGAACGCCCUCUCCAUCGACGUCUGGUAUAGCUUGAAACGGCACUAUGAAGAGGCGCUUCAAAGGGAAGAUGUGAAAGCUAUUGUUCUUACAGGAAGUGGAAGGUCAUUUUCUGCUGGACUCGACGUUAGUGUCUUCGCUGAUAUUCACAAACCGGAGCAGCUAAAGGAUCACUGCAUAUUGAUUGAAGCCAUGACUGAUAUUUUCGAAGAUGCUGGGAAACCAUCAGUGGCUGCUAUUGAUGGCCCUGCUCUUGGUGGAGGUUUAGAAAUUUCCAUGGUAUGCCAAGCACGCAUUUCAACUUCUAAUGCUCAAUUAGGCCUCACGGAGCUUCAGUUUGGAGUAAUACCUGGAUUUGGAGGAACACAGCGCCUUCCCCGCCUUGUUGGACUGACAAAAGCACUUGAAAUGAUGAUGCUCUCGAAGCCAAUAAAAGCUGAAGAAGCCCAUGAGCUGGGUCUUGUCGACGCUGUUGUUUCACCUAACGAUUUGUUGAAUGAUGCCCGCCGUUGGGCUUUGGACAUCUGUGAGUCCAAAAGGCCAUGGGUCCGAGCCCUCUACAAAACUGACAAGCUUGAAUCCCCUGAGGUGGCCAGAGAGAUCCUCAAUUCUGCCAGAGUUCAGUCUCGGAAGCAGGCUGCCAAUCUUCAGCAUCCACUCGUCUGUAUCGAUGCUGUCGAAGAAGGUAUAGUUUCAGGGCCACGAGCCGGGCUUCGGAAGGAAGCCAUGGCUUUUCAGGAACUCUUUUUCUCAGGUACAUGCAAAAGCUUGAUUCAUGUGUUCUUUUCACAACGUGCGACAUCAAAGCAGGUUCCUGGGGUCACAGACUUAGGUUUGAUGCCAAGGAAGGUAUCUAAAGUUGCCAUUGUUGGUGGUGGACCUAUGGGUUCUGGAAUCGCAACCACGCUGAUACUAAGCCAUUAUCCUGUUAUACUCAAAGAAAUCAAUGAGAAAUUCCUAAACGCAGGAAUUGGCAGGAUCAAAGAAAACUUGCAGAGUCGUGUAAGGAAAGGAAAAAUGACCAAGGACAACUAUGACAAGACCCUCUCACUUCUUACAGGUGUCCUCGAUUAUGAAAAAUUCAAGAGUGUUGACUUAGCAAUCGAGACAGUCGUAGAGAAUGUGAAGUUGAAGCAGCAGAUUUUUGCUGAGUUGGAGCAACACUGUCCUUCCCAUUGUAUUCUUGCCACCAACACUUCCACCAUUGAUCUUGACCUGAUCGGAGAGAAGACAAAUUCCCAAGACCGCAUUGUUGGCACACACUUCUUCGCUCCAGCUCAUAUCAUGCCUCUUCUCGAGAUAGUCCGCACCCCUCGUGCCUCUCUGCAAGCAGUUGUCACCAUGCUGGAUGUGGGGAAGAAGAUCAAGAAGACACCAAUAGUGGUCGGAAACUGUACCGGCUUCGCGGUUAACCGGAUGUUCUUUCCGUACACUCAGGCAGCACUCUUACUUGUUGAUCAUGGAAUGGAUGUUGACAAGAUCGAUCAGGCUUGUAUUGAAUUCGGGAUGCCAAUUGGUCCAUUCAGAAUGACAGAUCUGGUUGGUUUUGACGUUGCUCUAGCCACAGGCAUGCAGUACCUUGAAAACUUCCCUGAGCGGGUCUACAAGUCAAUGCUGAUUCCUCUCAUGACUGAAGACAAAAGAACAGGUGAAGCCUCCCAAAAGGGGUUUUACAAGUAUGAGGGUAAGAGGAAGGCGAGCCCUGAUCCUGAAAUCACGAGCUAUGUCGAGGAGUCGAGGAGAAUUUCAGGAGCCACACCUGAUCCUGAGUUGCUCAAGAUUGACAACAGCGCGAUAGCAGAGAUGGUGUUCUUCCCGGUUAUCAACGAAGCCUGCCGUGUCCUGGGCGAGGGCAUUGCCUUCAAGGCCUCUGACCUCGACAUCGCCUCCAUCUUCGGAAUGGGUUUCCCGCCAUACAGGGGUGGCAUCAUGCACUGGGCGGAUUCCAUCGGCGCAAGGCGCAUUUGCACGAUGCUGUCGGAGUGGGAGAUGGAGUAUGGCCAGUUCUUCAAACCUUGCAGCCACCUGUUGGAGAGGGCGGCUGAAGGUCUUCCUCUGAGCGCAUCGGCGACGAAGACGAUGAACAACCAGGCCAAGGGCAAGCUGUAG